CCUACGGGAGGCAGCAGUGGGGAAUUUUCCGCAAUGGGCGAAAGCCUGACGGAGCAACGCCGCGUGAGGGAUGAAGGCCUCUGGGCUGUAAACCUCUUUUAUCAAGGAAGAAGAUCUGACGGUACUUGAUGAAUAAGCCACGGCUAAUUCCGUGCCAGCAGCCGCGGUAAUACGGGAGUGGCAAGCGUUAUCCGGAAUUAUUGGGCGUAAAGCGUCCGCAGGCGGUCUUGUAAGUCUGUCGUUAAAGCGUGGAGCUUAACUCCAUUUCGGCGGUGGAAACUACAAGACUAGAGUGUGGUAGGGGCAGAGGGAAUUCCCGGUGUAGCGGUGAAAUGCGUAGAUAUCGGGAAGAACACCAGUGGCGAAGGCGCUCUGCUGGGCCAUAACUGACGCUCAUGGACGAAAGCUAGGGGAGCGAAAGGGAUUAGAUACCCCUGUAGCCCUAGCCGUAAACGAUGAACACUAGGUNUCGGGGGAAUCGACCCCCUCGGUGUCGUAGCUAACGCGUUAAGUGUUCCGCCUUGGGGUAGUACGCNCGCAGUGUGAACGUUAAAGGUAAGUUAGUACGGCGUGAGACGUGCCGAACGGACGACGACGAGGGAGUAGG
rnacentral:rRNA from 1 species